CCAGAUGGUCAGGUAGCUGCGCUUUUUGCAAAAAAAGUGAGGAAAGUCCGGGCUCCACUGAAACACGGUGGCGGGUAAUCCCCGCCGAGGGCGACCUCAGGGAAAGUGCCACAGAAAAUAUACCGCUUGCGCUUGCGUAAGUAAGGGUGAAAUGGUGCGGUAAGAGCGCACCGCGUGGUUGGUAACAAUCAUGGCAGGGUAAACCCCACCGGGAGCAAGGCCAAAUAGGGGUAACACGCUGGUUUACCGGCAGAUGGGUUUCUACAUCCGUUACCCGGGUAGGCUGCUAGAGGUGGUUGGCAACAACCAUCCCAGAUGAAUAGCUAUCCUCGACAGAACCCGGCUUAUCGACCAUCUGGUUCG
rnacentral:RNase_P_RNA from 1 species